GGAGAGAUGGCUGAGUCUGGCUGAAGGCGCUCGCCUGGAAAGCGGGUAGACGCGAAAAAGCGUCUCGCGGGUUCGAAUCCCGCUCUCUCCGCCA
rnacentral:tRNA from 2 species